rnacentral:RNase_P_RNA from 2 species
AACACUAACUAGACAGUCGCUUUUUAAAAAAUCAAAAAGAGGAAAGUCCGGGCUCCAAAGAGCAAAGUGCCAGGUAAUACCUGGGAGGUGAAAUUCCUACGACUAGUGCAACAGAAAAAAAACCGCCAAUUUAGGCAAGGGUGAAAAGGUGUGGUAAGAGCACACCGCAUAUCUGGAAACAGUAUAUGGCGAUGUAAACUCCACUUGGAGCAAGGCGGAAUAAAGAUUUUGUACUGCUCGUACAAAUAAAAUCAGGGUAGCGCUGCUUGAAUUAGUAAGUGAUUACUAAUCUAGAUGAAUGACUGUCCAAGACAGAAUCCGGCUUAUCGGUUAGUAGUUUUU